GCAACCUCUAUCUGGUUCACGCGCCAACUUCCAUGUAUACACUGCAGUCUUGAAGCCACAUGAAAGGAUCAUGGCUUUGGAUUUUCCUCACAGUGGACAUCUUUCUCAUGGUUACCAGACUGACACUAAGAAGAUAUCUGCAACUUCAAUAUUUUUUGAGACAAUGCCUUAUAGAUUGGAUGAAAGCACUGGAU